rnacentral:tRNA from 1 species
GCGAAAGUGGCGGAACUGGUAGACGCGCUGGAUUUAGGUUCCAGUGGGUGACCCCCGUGAGGGUUCGAGUCCCUCCUUUCGCACCA